CCCAGACUCCUACGGGAGGCAGCAGUGGGGAAUAUUGGGCAAUGGGCGCAAGCCUGACCCAGCAACGCCGCGUGAAGGAAGAAGGCUUUCGGGUUGUAAACUUCUUUUCUCAGGGACGAAGAAAGUGACGGUACCUGAGGAAUAAGCCACAGCUAACUACGUGCCAGCAGCCGCGGUAAUACGUAGGUGGCAAGCGUUAUCCGGAUUUAUUGGGUGUAAAGGGCGUGUAGGCGGGAGCGCAAGUCAGAUGUGAAAACUCAGGGCUCAACCCUGAGCCUGCAUUUGAAACUGUGUUUCUUGAGUGCUGGAGAGGCAAUCGGAAUUCCUAGUGUAGCGGUGAAAUGCGUAGAUAUUAGGAGGAACACCAGUGGCGAAGGCGGCCUGCUGGACGACAACUGACGGUGAGGCGCGAAAGCGUGGGGAGCAAACAGGAUUAGAUACCCGUGUAA
rnacentral:rRNA from 1 species